rnacentral:rRNA from 1 species
AAAAAACNAUUCNCNUNGAGGCUCUCUGGUGAAUCAUGAUAACUAGUCGAAUCGACAGGCCUUGUGCCGGCGAUGGCUCAUUCAAAUUUCUUCCCUAUCAACUUUCGAUGUUUGGGUAUUGGCCAAACAUGGUGGCAACGGGUAACGGAGGGUUAGGGCUCGACCCCGGAGAAGGAGCCUGAGAAACGGCUACUACAUCCAAGGAAGGCAGCAGGCGCGCAAAUUACCCAAUCCCGACACGGGGAGGUAGUGACAAUAAAUACUGAUACAGGGCUCUUUUGGGUCUUGUAAUCGGAAUGAGUACAAUUUAAAUCCCUUAACGAGGAACAAUUGGAGGGCAAGUCUGGUGCCAGCAGCCGCGGUAAUUCCAGCUCCAAUAGCGUAUAUUAAAGUUGUUGUGGUUAAAAAGCUCGUAGUUGAACCUUGGGCCUGGCUGGCCGGUCCGCCUCACCGCGUGCACUGGUCCGGCCGGGCCUUUCCCUCUGCGGAACCCCAUGCCCUUCACUGGGUGUGGCGGGGAAACAGGACUUUUACUUUGAAAAAAUUAGAGUGCUCAAGGCAGGCCUAUGCUCGAAUACAUUAGCAUGGAAUAAUAGAAUAGGACGUGUGGUUCUAUUUUGUUGGUUUCUAGGACCGCCGUAAUGAUUAAUAGGGACAGUCGGGGGCAUCAGUAUUCAAUUGUCAGAGGUGAAAUUCUUGGAUUUAUUGAAGACUAACUACUGCGAAAGCAUUUGCCAAGGAUGUUUUCAUUAAUCANGAACGAAAGUUAG